rnacentral:rRNA from 1 species
GACGAACGCUGGCGGCGUGCCUAACACAUGCAAGUCGAGCGGAGUCGAUCGACGGAAGCCUUCGGGCGGAAGAUGGUUGACUUAGCGGCGGAUGGGUGAGUAACGCGUGGGCAACCUGCCUCGAAGACCGGGAUAACAGCCCGAAAGGGCUGCUAAUACCGGAUGUGGUCAAAGAUCCGCAUGGAUUUUUGAUUAAAGGGGAAACCCGUUUCGAGAUGGGCCCGCGUCCUAUCAGCUAGUUGGUGAGGUAAAAGCUCACCAAGGCGACGACGGGUAGCCGGCCUGAGAGGGUGACCGGCCCGAGGGGCACUGAGAUACGGGUCCCACUCCUACGGGAGGCAGCAGGCUAGAAAUUUGGGCAAUGGGGGAAACCCUGACCCAGUGACGCCGCGUGCAGGAAGGAGCCCUUCGGGUGUAAACUGCUGUCGUGUAGGGAGAAGGGUACUAAGGUGAACAAUCUUAGUACUUGACGGUACUACAGGAGGAAGCCCAGGCUAACCUCGUGCCAGCAGCCGCGGUAAAG